AAGGGUUGCCCUUGGCUACAGGAGGACGCGGGCUGGCAGGCUUGGUUCCUGGCGAGUUUCUAAGCCCCCGCCUGCGGUCUGAGGCACCGGCUGAACCAUGUCGGAGAUCCUGUGCCACUGGCUCAACAAGGAGUUGAAGGUGUCCCGGACCGUGAGUCCCAAGUCAUUUGCAAAGGCAUUUUCCAGUGGCUAUCUACUUGGAGAAGUUCUACACAAGUUUGAACUUCAGGAUGAUUUUUCAGAAUUUUUGGACAGCAGGGUUUCAAGUGCCAAACUUAAUAAUUUUUCUCGCUUGGAGCCAACACUUCACCUUCUGGGUGUGCAGUUUGAUCAGAAUGUGGCCCAUGGCAUCAUCACAGAAAAGCCUGGGGUGGCAACAAAGCUGUUAUAUCAAUUGUACAUUGCUCUUCAGAAAAAGAAGAAAAGUGGACUGACUGGAGUGGAGAUGCAAACCAUGCAACGUCUGACAAAUUUAAGACUUCAAAACUUGAAAAGUGAUACUUUUCAAGAGGUAGGUACAUAAAAAAGCAUAAUAAGCAUGUCACAGUGUAAAAUUUGAUAAAGAGAAAUGACAAUGAUAUUG
rnacentral:sRNA from 1 species